rnacentral:rRNA from 1 species
AGAACGAACGCUGGCGGCAGGCCUAACACAUGCAAGUCGAGCGAGAUUUUCGGAUCUAGCGGCGGACGGGUGAGUAACGCGUGGGAAUAUGCCCUUUGGUACGGAAUAGCCUCGGGAAACUGAGAGUAAUACCGUAUGCGCCCAUGGACCGUGGAGGUUUAUGGGGAAAGAUUUAUCGCCGAAGGAUUAGCCCGCGUUGGAUUAGGUAGUUGGUGGGGUAAUGGCCUACCAAGCCGACGAUCCAUAGCUGGUUUGAGAGGAUGAUCAGCCACACUGGGACUGAGACACGGCCCAGACUCCUACGGGAGGCAGCAGUGGGGAAUCUUAGACAAUGGGGGCAACCCUGAUCUAGCCAUGCCGCGUGAGUGAUGAAGGCCUUAGGUGUAAAGCUCUUUCAGCUGGAAGAUAAUGACGUACCAGCAGAAGAACGCCCCGCUAACUCCGUGCCAGCAGCCGAC